rnacentral:SRP_RNA from 2 species
GCCGAGCUCAGUUGCGAGAGCUUGUAACCCGAGUGGGGGCAUUAAAGUGAUGUGGACGUUGUUGUAGCGCUACGGGCCUGGUCUGGAUAUGCUACUGCUGGCCCGCCCGUUCCAAGUUGCUAGUGGAACGGCUGGCGCCUAUGCGAAAGCUGGGCCUCACGGUCCAUAAUGUGGCAGGCACAGCGUGAGCCUGGCUUCACAGAGCAACGACAACUGCCCACUUCCAACGGUGGAAGGAUAACGAGCUGCUGCAUUCUUAGGCCGCUUGGGCCUCGCAGCCUACUCCAACGAACCAUCAUUUUU